rnacentral:rRNA from 1 species
UGCCAGCAGCCGCGGUAAUACGGAGGGAGCUAGCGUUGUUCGGGAUUACUGGGCGUAAAGCGUGCGUAGGCGGAUCGACAAGUUGGGGGUGAAAUCCCGGGGCUUAACCCCGGAACUGCCCUCAAAACUGUCGAUCUAGAGACCGGGAGAGGUAAGCGGAAUUCCUAGUGUAGAGGUGAAAUUCGUAGAUCUCUGGAGGAACACCAAACGCGAAGGCAUUCUGCUGGUCAUUACCUGACGCUGAGGGACGAAAGCGUGGGGAGCGAACGGGAUUAGAUA